rnacentral:rRNA from 1 species
UGGGGGAAUAUUGCACAAUGGGCGAAAGCCUGAUGCAGCAACGCCGCGUGAGGGAAGACGGUUUUCGGAUUGUAAACCUCUGUUUUCGGUGACGAACAAAUGACGGUAACCGAGUAGGAAGCCACGGCUAACUACGUGCCAGCAGCCGCGGUAAUACGUAGGGGGCAAGCGUUAUCCGGAUUUACUGGGUGUAAAGGGCGUGUAGGCGGGAUUUCAAGUCAGAUGUGAAAACCGAAGGCUCAACCUUCGGCCUGCAUUUGAAACUGAAGUUCUUGAGUGCUGGAGAGGCUAACGGAAUUCCUAGUGUAGCGGUGAAAUGCGUAGAUAUUAGGAAGAACACCAGUGGCGAAGGCGGUUAGCUGGACAGUAACUGACGCCGAGGCGCGAAAGCGUGGGGAGCAAACAGGAUUAGAUACCCUGGUAGU